GAUGAAGAACGCAGCGAAAUGCGAUAAGUAAUGUGAAUUGCAGAAUUCAGUGAAUCAUCGAAUCUUUGAACGCACAUUGCGCCCAUUAGUAUUCUAGUGGGCAUGCCUGUUCGAGCGUCAUUUGUACCUUCAAGCUCUGCUUGGUGUUGGGUGUUUGUCUCGCCUCUGCGUGUAGACUCGCCUCAAAACAAUUGGCAGCCGGCGUAUUGAUUUCGGAGCGCAGUACAUCUCGCGCUUUGCACUCAUAACGACGACGUCCAAAAGUACAUUUUUACACUCUUGACCUCGGAUCAGGUAGGGAUACCCGCUGAACUUAAGCAUAUCAAUAAGCGGAGGA
rnacentral:misc_RNA from 1 species